UUCCGCACACCGCUGGCUGCCUGUCGCCUGACGCCGCCAUCCACCUGCGAUGAAUCGGUGACCAUCGAGUGGUGCUUUCAGAAGUUCCUGGAGGAGGCAUUGCUCGACGAAGGAUGUGGCGGCGAGUCGGCCACCGCGCGGAUGCGUUGCUGAGCCGCGCGACGACGACUAGUGGUGGCUGCGGUGCCCUGCAGGGUUCAACUCUCUGCUACUGCUUCUCCAGCUGAUGUCCAUCCUGGUUCAGAUGCAGAUAGUCAAGGAGUUGUCAUUCCCCUUACAGCUGCAACUGUUUUACAUGACGCCUCGGCUUCAACAGCUUGAAAGCCAAGAUCAAACUCUCAAUGAGUAUGCACUAGAUGUGGAUUUGAAGUAUCAUUUGUGCUAUGUGUGCUUGCACUACAGAAGAUGUACUUCACAAUGUACCGUGUGUAUAAUCGGUUUGCCACUUCCUCAUUAGUCCGCCAAGCAGAUGUUACUACAUGCCAAGAUUAUAGAUUAGGAAAUUUGGGCGUUGUGUCGUCUGCUCCUCACCUGCAGCUACUGUAAUUGAUUCAAAAAAAAAACUGCAGCUAUUGUACUAUUUUCUCUGAAUUGUGGCAAUCCGGGCAUAGCUAUUGCACUA